CGCUGGCGGCGUGCCUAACACAUGCAAGUCGAACGAAGCUCCUGCGUUGAUUCUUCGGAUGAAACAAGGGAAGACUUAGUGGCGGACGGGUGAGUAACGCGUGAGCAACCUGCCUUUCAGAGGGGGAUAACAGUUGGAAACGACUGCUAAUACCGCAUAACGUAUUGAUGUCGCAUGGCAUUGAUACCAAAGCUGAGGCGCUGAGAGAUGGGCUCGCGUCCGAUUAGAUAGUUGGUGGGGUAACGGCCUACCAAGUCGACGAUCGGUAGCCGGACUGAGAGGUUGAACGGCCACAUUGGGACUGAGACACGGCCCAGACUCCUACGGGAGGCAGCAGUGGGGGAUAUUGCACAAUGGGCGAAAGCCUGAAUGCAGCAACGCCGCGUGAGGGAAGACGGUUUUCGGAUUGUAAACCUCUGUCUUUGGUGAAGAAGGAAGUGACGGUAGCCAAGGAGGAAGCCACGGCUAACUACGUGCCAGCAGCCGC
rnacentral:rRNA from 1 species